rnacentral:rRNA from 1 species
GAUGAACGCUGGCGGCGUGCCUAAUACAUGCAAGUCGAGCGAACAGACGAGGAGCUUGCGCCUCUGACGUUAGCGGCGGACGGGUGAGUAACACGUGGAUAACCUACCUAUAAGACUGGGAUAACUUCGGGAAACCGGAGCUAAUACCGGAUAAUAUAUUGAACCGCAUGGUUCAAUAGUGAAAGACGGCUUUGCUGUCACUUAUAGAUGGAUCCGCGCCGCAUUAGCUAGUUGGUAAGGUAACGGCUUACCAAGGCAACGAUGCGUAGCCGACCUGAGAGGGUGAUCAGCCACACUGGAACUGAGACACGGUCCAGACUCCUACGGGAGGCAGCAGUAGGGAAUCUUCCGCAAUGGGCGAAAGCCUGACGGAGCAACGCCGCGUGAGUGAUGAAGGUCUUCGGAUCGUAAAACUCUGUUAUUAGGGAAGAACAAAUGUGUAAGUAACUAUGCACGUCUUGACGGUACCUAAUCAGAAAGCCACGGCUAACUACGUG